rnacentral:rRNA from 1 species
CCUACGGGAGGCUGCAGUGAGGAAUAUUGGUCAAUGGGCGGAAGCCUGAACCAGCCAAGUAGCGUGCAGGAUGACGGCCCUACGGGUUGUAAACUGCUUUUAUACGGGAAUAACGCGCCUUACGUGUAGGGCUUUGCAUGUACCGUAUGAAUAAGGACCGGCUAAUUCCGUGCCAGCAGCCGCGGUAAUACGGAAGGUCCGGGCGUUAUCCGGAUUUAUUGGGUUUAAAGGGAGUGGUGGCCGCAUGUCCAGCGUGCUGUGAAAUUUCCGGGCUCAACCCGGGCCUUGCAGCGCGAACUGGCGUGCUUGAGUCCGCGGAAAGCAGGCGGAAUUCGUCGUGUAGCGGUGAAAUGCUUAGAUAUGACGAAGAACCCCGAUUGCGAAGGCAGCUUGCUGCAGCGGAACUGACGCUGAUGCUCGAAAGCGCGGGUAUCGAACAGGAUUAGAUACCCGGGUAGUC